GACGAACGCUGGCGGCGUGCUUAACACAUGCAAGUCGAGCGGUAAGGCCCUUUCGGGGGUACACGAGCGGCGAACGGGUGAGUAACACGUGGGUGACCUGCCUCUAGCUCUGGGAUAAGCCUGGGAAGCUGGGUCUAAUACCGGAUAUGACCUCGCGGUGCAUGUUGCGGGGUGGAAAGCCUUGCGCGGCUAGGGAUGGGCCCGCGGCCUAUCAGCUUGUUGGUGGGGUGANGGCCUACCAAGGCGACGACGGGUAGCCGGCCUGAGAGGGCGACCGGCCACACUGGGACUGAGACACGGCCCAGACUCCUACGGGAGGCAGCAGUGGGGAAUCUUGCGCAAUGGGCGAAAGCCUGACGCAGCGACGCCGCGUGAGGGAUGACGGCCU
rnacentral:rRNA from 1 species